rnacentral:rRNA from 1 species
CUUUCCCUCUUUCUUCAGGCCUAACACAUGCAAGUCGAGCGGAUGAAGGGAGCUUGCUCCUGGAUUCAGCGGCGGACGGGUGAGUAAUGCCUAGGAAUCUGCCUGGUAGUGGGGGAUAACGUCCGGAAACGGGCGCUAAUACCGCAUACGUCCUGAGGGAGAAAGUGGGGGAUCUUCGGACCUCACGCUAUCAGAUGAGCCUAGGUCGGAUUAGCUAGUUGGUGGGGUAAAGGCCUACCAAGGCGACGAUCCGUAACUGGUCUGAGAGGAUGAUCAGUCACACUGGAACUGAGACACGGUCCAGACUCCUACGGGAGGCAGCAGUGGGGAAUAUUGGACAAUGGGCGAAAGCCUGAUCCAGCCAUGCCGCGUGUGUGAAGAAGGUCUUCGGAUUGUAAAGCACUUUAAGUUGGGAGGAAGGUCAGUAAGUUAAUACCUUGCUGUUUUGACGUUACCAACAGAAUAAGCACCGGCUAACUUCGUG